AGUGACAUGAUGUCUUCUGCAG
rnacentral:miRNA from 1 species